rnacentral:rRNA from 1 species
UGCCAGACUCCUACGGGAGGCGGCAGUGGGGGAUAUUGCACAAUGGGGGGAACCCUGAUGCAGCGACGCCGCGUGAGUGAAGACGGCCUUCGGGUUGUAAAGCUCUGUCAAUCGGGACGAAGAAGAUGACGGUACCGAUGAAGGAAGCUCCGGCUAACUACGUGCCAGCAGCCGCGGUAAUACGUAGGGGGCAAGCGUUAUCCGGAUUUACUGGGUGUAAAGGGAGCGUAGACGGCCAGACAAGUCUGAAGUGAAAAUCCAGCGCUUAACGUUGGAAGUGCUUUGGAAACUGCCGGGCUAGAGUGCAGGAGGGGCAGGCGGAAUUCCUAGUGUAGCGGUGAAAUGCGUAGAUAUUAGGAGGAACACCAGUGGCGAAGGCGGCCUGCUGGACUGCAACUGACGUUGAGGCUCGAAAGCGUGGGGAGCAAACAGGAUUAGAUACCCCAGUA